GGGAAAGCAAAGGGAAAUGAGAAUGGAGAAAAGUAUUUUCUAGAUAAAGCAGUUGGAUUUGAUGGGUGAGCCAGGAGACCAGCAGCAGGGAGGGUGGGUGGUCCAAUGGGCAGAGUUAUGGCUAGGAAGUGAAGAGUCAAGAGCCCCUGUUUCACCCACAGUCCAUGACUGUAGGAUCCAAGGCAUGACCCCUUCCCACAGCAGUGCCCCUUUAAGAGAGGGAAAUGUGAUCAAAAGGGUAAGAAGGGUCCCUUGCUCCUGGAGGGGAACUGCUGGCCCGUCUGCCUGAUAGCCACUGGAGGCAGGCCUUGGUUAGGCCUUCCCACUGACACCCAGUGGGACGUGAUGGCAGAGCAGUUGGUGCUUUUGUCAACAUGCUGCUUCCAGAUCUUCAGGUUACUAUUAAAAUCCCACCAAACCCUGCCACUGGCGUCCGUCGGGCUUUGUGGAUUGAUUCAGAUUUAAGGUGCGCCCCUCUAGGCCUUAGCACUGGAGGUGGAAAGAGCAGAAGAGUAAAACUUGGUCUUGGGGUCCCCAAAUUCAGAGGGAGUGACCGCAACAGAUGUGUAGCAGCUGAUACUUCUUUUAGUUUGUUUGUGUUUGUUUUUGGAGACGGGAUCUCACUCUGUCACCUAUGUUAGAGUGAGUGGCGC
rnacentral:lncRNA from 1 species